rnacentral:misc_RNA from 1 species
GCUGACAAUCCUAAAGAAGAUGUUAAAAAAUGCACUGAACCCAAGAAAGAUGUGAAGAAAGAAAAUGGCCUUCACCACCAAAAGCAUCCACUCCACCAUGGCCAUAGGCGGCAUCACCACAAAUCGGCAAGGUCCCCUGCCAUUCACUCAGAAACUGCUCUACGCCAAAACCACAGAAAUGGGUUUGAUUCUCCCCUGCACCCAGAAGCCAAGGGAGCAUAGAAAUUAAAUGCCAAAACUGUAAUUAAGUUAAUGUAAAUACAAACUCUUUUCUUCUGUUAUCCUUGAAUUUGCAUAUUGUGACAACACAAGUUAGGCACAAGAAGAAGAAGUGUAAGGAUUAUUCUUGUGGAAGGACUAGUUUUACUUGGAUUUGUUCUUUCUUUCAAACAUUUUGACUUGUAUAAUCUCAUCUUGCCUGGGCAAUUUGGCAUGGAUGGGAGUUCAAUUU